UACGUAGGGUGCAAGCGUUGUCCGGAAUCAUUGGGCGUAAAGAGCUCGUAGGCGGUUCGUCGCGUCGGCUGUGAAAACCUGAGGCUCAACCUCAGGCCUGCAGUCGAUACGGGCGGACUUGAGUACUGCAGGGGAGACUGGAAUUCCUGGUGUAGCGGUGAAAUGCGCAGAUAUCAGGAGGAACACCGGUGGCGAAGGCGGGUCUCUGGGCAGUAACUGACGCUGAGGAGCGAAAGCGUGGGGAGCGAACCGG
rnacentral:rRNA from 1 species